GGGGCUGACCGGUAUUGACAGUAAGUGUAAAGAUCGGGCUCGCAUGCAGGCUGGAGUAUGUACGGCCUUGAAAGAUUCAUACGAACUAUAAUUGGCGAAAAUUCUUACGCCAUGGCUGCCUAAUCUACCCUCUUAGGAUAGAUCGCUUAAAGGGUUGAGUUACUAGAGUAAUUCCCCAGCCACAUCUCACCGUCCGUUAUCUGGUCCGGACGGAUUUGAGGUGUCGACUUGACCGGGUUGCGGCUUGUGAUGCUAUUAAGCAAGUCUAAGAUCAAUAGCUAAGCCGGAACAAGGUGUGUCAUCCAGCAUAUUUCGGUCGAAAACCUAACAGGUGACUAAGCAUGUAGACGGUACGGUGUUUCCUUAUCUGGACGCGAGUUCGAAUCUCGCCAGCUCCACAU
rnacentral:tmRNA from 1 species